rnacentral:rRNA from 1 species
UACGUAGGGGGCUAGCGUUGUCCGGAAUCAUUGGGCGUAAAGCGCGUGUAGGCGGCCCGAUAAGUCCGCUGUGAAAGUCCAGGGCUCAACCCUGGGAUGCCGGUGGAUACUGUCGGGCUCGAGUCCGGAAGAGGCGAGUGGAAUUCCUGGUGUAGCGGUGAAAUGCGCAGAUAUCAGGAAGAACACCAAUGGCGAAAGCAGCUCUCUGGGACGGUACUGACGCUGAGACGCGAAAGCGUGGGGAGCGAACAGG